rnacentral:rRNA from 1 species
CUACGGGUUGCUGCAGUGGGGAAUCUUGGACAAUGGGCGCAAGCCUGAUCCAGCCAUGCCGCGUGAGUGAAGAAGGCCUUAGGGUCGUAAAGCUCUUUCGCCAGAGAUGAUAAUGACAGUAUCUGGUAAAGAAACCCCGGCUAACUCCGUGCCAGCAGCCGCGGUAAUACGGAGGGGGUUAGCGUUGUUCGGAAUUACUGGGCGUAAAGCGCGCGUAGGCGGAUUAGUCAGUCAGAGGUGAAAUCCCAGGGCUCAACCCUGGAACUGCCUUUGAUACUGCUAGUCUUGAGUUCGAGAGAGGUGAGUGGAAUUCCGAGUGUAGAGGUGAAAUUCGUAGAUAUUCGGAGGAACACCAGUGGCGAAGGCGGCUCACUGGCUCGAUACUGACGCUGAGGUGCGAAAGUGUGGGGAGCAAACAGGAUUAGAUACCCUCGUAGUC